UACGAAGGGGGCGAGCGUUGUUCGGAAUUACUGGGCGUAAAGGGCGCGUAGGCGGCCGAUCAAGUCAGAUGUGAAAGUCCUGGGCUUAACCUGGGGACUGCAUUUGAUACUGAUUGGCUUGAAUUCGGGAGAGGAUAGCGGAAUUCCCAGUGUAGAGGUGAAAUUCGUAGAUAUUGGGAAGAACACCGGUGGCGAAGGCGGCUAUCUGGACCGAUACUGACGCUGAGGAGCGAAAGCCAGGGGAGCAAACGGG
rnacentral:rRNA from 1 species